rnacentral:rRNA from 1 species
UAGGGAAUCUUCCACAAUGGACGAAAGUCUGAUGGAGCAACGCCGCGUGAGUGAAGAAGGGUUUCGGCUCGUAAAACCCUGUUGUUAAAGAAGAACAUAUCUGAGAGUAACUGUUCAGGUAUUGACGGUAUUUAACCAGAAAGCCACGGCUAACUACGUGCCAG